UAGUCUCUCAUAGAAACUUCUGGCCUCUGGACACUGUGGGAGCAACUUUUCCUUUAUUAGACUGUCUCCUCUUUAACUGUACCUAGAAGAUACUUUAGCACAGCAAGCAUCUCUUUUAUGCUUACAUUAUGCAGUUAUGCAGACUUGGUGUACGUCCUUCAAGGACAGUCUAAGAAUCUUUGAUUCUAUUUCUGCUGGAUACAUUGUUGCAGAGAUGUAAGAAGGAAGGACUUAGAAAAGUAUGCUAUAAGAAUUGAAUGCUCAGAGGCAAGCUAACUUCACAAGGAGAAAAGAAAGAUGGAAACAGCCUAGACAAACUCAAAUCAAGUCCAGGAGACUUACGCUAGAGUUGCUUUUUCUAAUAGAAGAGACCAGUGUGCAAUUGUGAAUUGUGAUGCUGAGGCAAGCCCCAAGGAUGAAGAGAAUUAAAUAGAGGAGGAAGAGAAGAGGAGAUAGACCAGUGCAAUGGACCUCAUAACCACAUACAAUCUAGUUUUAUGGGGAAACUCCUUGUAUAAAAGAAUAUUGCAGCAUGACUGGGAAGCCUGUCCUUCAUUACUUCAAUUGAAGAAGAAGAAUGGAGUCCAUCCGGUGGCUCCUGGCAGCAGCUGGAGUAGAGUUUGAGGAAGAACUUUUUGAAACCCAUGAAGAGUUUGAGAAGUUAAUCCAAGGUGGAACCCUGAUGUACGAGCAAGUGCCCAUGGUGGAAAUCGAUGGAAUGACUUUGGUGCAGACCAGUGCCAUCUUAAGAUAUGUAGCUGCAAAAUAUGACUUGUAUGGAAGGAACCUGGAGGAACAAGCCUGAAGAGAAGGAGAUGAACCUUGAAUACAUCCUCCACCGAGCUACAACAAGAUUCUUCCCCGUUUAUGAGAAGGCCCUGAGAGACCACGGGCAAGACUUUCUUGUGGGCAAUCGGCUGAGCUUGGCUGAUGUCCAGCUCCUUGAAGUCAUCUUAAUGGCUGAAGAAUGCAAAGCCAGUGUUCUCUCGGGUUUCCCUCUGCUACAGGACUUCAAGGUGAGAACCAGCCAAAUUCCUACAAUUAACAGCUUCCUCCAACCUGGAAGCCAGAGGAAGCCUCCUUUGGAGGAGCGAUCCAUUGGGACUGCAAAGGACAUAUUCAAAUUUGAAUGAGGACUGUUUCUUAAAAACAUGAGCAAUAUAGUAGCUGAGUAUUAACAGCUACAGAGGCUGGAGUUACUCAGUAAGUAUACUGAGUAACUUGACACUGCAUUCAUAAAAAGACACUCACUAAGUAUAUGGCCAGAGAAAUAUCCUGAAGUUAGUAAUAAAUGUUAGGAAUCUUAGUAUGUUAGCAAUGUUAGAAUGUUAGUAAUGGAAAUAUUAAAUGUGUAAGAGAAAAACUACUAGAAGCUUAUCAAUAAACUACAAGAACCAACUCUUGUUUGAAGUAAGACAGGCUACCAAGACAGAAUUCAGAAAAUCCAAGGAGCCCUCGGCCUUCUGUAUGAUCCUAGAAUAAACUUGUAUGUAGCAAGUGAAAG
rnacentral:lncRNA from 1 species